GACGAACGCUGGCGGCGUGCUUAACACAUGCAAGUCGAACGGAAAGGCCCUGCUUUUGUGGGGUGCUCGAGUGGCGAACGGGUGAGUAACACGUGAGUAACCUGCCCUUGACUUUGGGAUAACUUCAGGAAACUGGGGCUAAUACCGGAUAGGAGCUCCUGCUGCAUGGUGGGGGUUGGAAAGUUUCGGCGGUUGGGGAUGGACUCGCGGCUUAUCAGCUUGUUGGUGGGGUAGUGGCUUACCAAGGCUUUGACGGGUAGCCGGCCUGAGAGGGUGACCGGCCACAUUGGGACUGAGAUACGGCCCAGACUCCUACGGGAGGCAGCAGUGGGGAAUAUUGCACAAUGGGCGGAAGCCUGAUGCAGCAACGCCGCGUGCGGGAUGACGGCCUUCGGGUUAAACCGCUUUCGCCUGUGACGAAGCGUGAGUGACGGUAAUGGGUAAAGAAGCACCGGCUAACUACGUG
rnacentral:rRNA from 1 species